GCAAAAAAUGGCUUCCGUUCCGAUAAGUUCAGCGUAUGUGAAGCAGUUGGAGAGAAAUUCGAUGUCGGAAACGAAAGCACAAAGUAAUGGUACUGAACUGGCAAAAUAUGAGAAGAAUCAGGAUAUUGCACAAGAAAGAAGGCCUUUUUCUAGUUGCAUCUGUAAUGUGCAAACGAUGUUGCAAUCUUCCCUCCAGAGUCUGCCAUUUUUCUCAUCAGCGCCAAGUGAACAACGGUUUAAAGAGUGCGUGGAUCGUCCCUAAGCACGGAUUUGCAAGAUACGCUAAAUUUUAUCUGAGUGGAAGUGAUUACGAAGCAUUUUAACAGGGAAGAAACACCUUUUUCAUUUUCGGUCUCCUUGACUGUCGAAUCCUUUCAAAAUAUACGUGACCUCUUUCAUGUAUGUGUCAAUUGCGCGAAGCGCUGAAAAGCCUGACUAAACAAAGUGGCACGUGAACCUAAAUAACAGCCAAUCUUUGAUCUUCUCAUAUGAGGAAGUCGAGAUCGGGGUAGACGUCACGCCAAUGAGAUGCUCCCUUGUAAUCAAAGGUUCAAAAUCACAACAUGUGUUCAGGAUUCACGUGUAACAAUUUGACAUGUUUUAUCUCGGAAAUCAGUUUGAGGAAAGACUGAAUAAAUCGUGGUUAUCACGAAUUCUCCAGUGGACAUCCUGGAAGCCAAUUUCUGCAUUUUGCACUCGGUUCAAGCAGACGCUAGAAGAAUCAUCUCAAUAUCCCAGCGCGUGGGAGGAAACAUAAGUUGCUCGUUGUGUAAACAGCAACGGAAAUCCUAUAUAAUGCCUGUCUUGCAAGUAAGCGUAGCAAAGAACUGUAUGCAUUAUGAAUUAUGAAGUUAGACGGCAUUUUGCCGAAAACAUUCGUCGUGGCGAUGAUUAACAAUAAAAUAAUUUUAUAGUCGUUUUUCUUACGUUGUAUUUGGUUACAGUAAAUAGUGACAGGAUUAUGGUGUUUCUAUUGUAUUUCUAGUCAACCCUGUCGUUGUGGUCGAAAAAAAAUUAGAUCAAUAUCCCGUAAUGGAGACGUAACAAACAAACGUAAUUGUUUCUCAAAUCAAGCGAGAACAAUAUCUAUUUUUCAUGACUAUUGCAUGACGGAUCUGGGUGCUGCUCCGAGACAAAGGCUGUCUGUCAUUAGGACAUUUCAGAGGACGAGAACGAUCUCUGUUCCCGUCGCUUUCAUUAAGUGCAUGCGAUUGACGGAACAAGUGUUGUCAAAUUGAUUUCGGAAAACGUUGACGUUUCCAGCCAGUUUUUUCCUGACGCUAAUUUCUAAUUUGUAAAGACGAUUGUCGGUUCCAAAUCGAACAAAAAUUCAGGAGUUGCUCUGCAAAAAGGUCAGGAAAAGAAUGGCAUCUGUGCCAAUUAGUGUCGCUUAUGUGAAUCAUCUUCAUACGGAUACUUCGCCUGGUGAAAAGACGCAAGUCACCAAUUUUACGGAAGUCACUGGAAGGGACAACAUUCAACUUGAAACACGGCGAAGAUGGCCUUUCCAUAUAAAAGCUCAAACGCAGUCACAAACACCACAGUCUUCGCCCCAGAAGUCAUCCCGUCUCAUUUCGAAGUGAACUAAAUCACAAAUUACGCUUGCCUAGAUGAUGGAUCAUCACGGUGUAACAUAAUCCUGAGUUUAAAGUUCUGGCCUGAAAGCGGUUUGUCGUGGAUGUGUGUGCAAAGCUUAAACACAGACCUGAAAAAAUUAGGCUAGAAAUUUGACUUGUUAGUCAGACACGAAAAUUCAUCCGAGGUUUUGAGUACGUGAUCACUUGUGUUUAAUCUCGAUUGCGUAACAAAUUUACCUGCAAAAGAGACGUGAUAACGUACAUGUUCCUUAAGUUCGUCACGCGAUCUGGCCGUUGAGUGACGAACCAACUAGAAACUGUUUACUGCGGCAACGUCCAUGUUCGCCAACUGAGAUGACAAAGAUAAUUCAAAAUUGCCCUUUCUUUGGGUGAAUCACGAAUUUUAAAAAAGGAAAGUUUCCGUCACACGAUCGAAUAUCCCGAGCGAAUGACACUUUAUAAAUUGUUAGUAAAAAUUAUCAUUUAAUCCCCGAGGAUAUUUUACAAGAGGGUGUUGUGAUAACUUCAACUGAAGCAUAACAAAAUGAAAUUCCUUCUUAUUCUUUAUUAUCUCAUCCCUUUGGUCAAAACACUUUGCCAAGUUGCUCCUUUGGUCAAAUGCCUUUAAUAGGAUAAUUCUCCCUUUUUUCCUAAACCAUCCAAUCAUUAGAUAUAGACAAAAAGAAUCAUACUGAAUUUUCUUUUUAAGCUUUCAGAUCUGAAAUCAGACUUCACACUGACUUUGGCUUCUCUUAAUUUAACUUUGAGGAAACCGGUCCUGAGAAAUAAUUCUAUAUGCUUUCUUUAACUUUUAUGUGCCAAAAAGUGCUCCCUGUUUUUCCUCUUUUGAUUAAAACUAUACGCGAAGGAAAGUGUAAAAAAAGUUUAAAAGGAGAAAAAUAUGUACGGGUAAGGACUUGAGGAUCGAUUUGUUCUGGUCGCUGAUAGCUUGCCCAAGGUAUGCGCAACCUACUGAUACUGAUGUGGUUGUUACUGAUUGAAGAGCAGACGCAUAGAUUACUUCACCAUUCACAACAUUUUGAUCUUUUAUCAUAUACAAGUCGAUUUCAUGUUGCCGCGCGACCGUUCAAAAAAAAAAAA